rnacentral:rRNA from 1 species
UACGUAUGGGGCAAGCGUUGUUCGGAAUCAUUGGGCGUAAAGGGCUUGUAGGCGGUUUGGUAAGCCUGAUGUAAAAACCCGCAGCUUAACUGCGGGGCUGCAUUGGGAACUGCCAGGCUUGAGUUUGGGAUGGGGAACCGGAAUUCCUGGUGUAGGGGUGAAAUCUGUAGAUAUCAGGAAGAACACCUGUGGCGAAAGCGGGUUUCUGGACCAAUACUGACGCUGAGGAGCGAAAGCGUGGGGAG